GUUAAAUUUGAUUUUGGUUUUUUAAUUUAGUUUAUAUUUUUAUUAUAUGUAAAUUUUUGUAAAGAAUUUAUUUAAAUAGGGGGUAAUUUAAUAAAAUUUAAUUUUAAAAUAGCAAUAAUUAAUUUUAUAUAAUAAAAGAAAUUUUGAUAUAGGAAUAUAUAAUAAUAUUGAUAAAAUUUGUGCCAGCAAUCGCGGUUAAACAGAUAAUAUAAUUAAAUUUUAUUUAGUAAUAAUAAAUGUGAUUUAUUUAUUAAUUUAAAAUUAAAUUUAUUAGGUGAAAUUAAAAAUUUAAAUAAAGUUAAUAAAAAGAUAAUAAAAUUAUGAAAUUCUAUAAUUAAACUAGGAUUAGAUACCCUAUUAUAAAGAAUAUAAAUUAUAAAUAUUAGGGAAGUAUUAGUUUUAUGGUCUUGAAAUUUAAAGAAUUUGGCGGUAUUUUAGUCUUUUCAGAGGAACCUGUUUUAUAAUUGAUGACCCACGAUUAAUUUUACUUAAUUUAUUAGUUUAUAUAUCGUCGUAGGUUGAAUAUCUUGAGAGAGUUAUAAUAUUCAUGAUUUAUAAUAUAAUAAAAAAAAUCAGAUCAAGGUGUAGCUUAUAAUUAAGGAGGAAUGGGUUACAAUAAAUUUAUUUAAAGAUGGAUAUAAUAUUUAAAAUUAUUAUUAAAAUUGGAUUUGAUAGUAAUUUAUUUAAUUUAAAAUAUAUGAUUUUAGCUCUAAAAUAUGUACAUAUCGCCCGUCGCUUUCAUUGAAUAUUAAGAUGAAAUAAGUCGUAACAUAGUAGGCGUACCGGAAGGUGUGCCUGGUUUGAA
rnacentral:ncRNA from 1 species